rnacentral:rRNA from 1 species
UACGUAGGGUGCAAGCGUUUGUCCGGAAUUAUUGGGCGUAAAGAGCUCGUAGGCGGUCUGUCGCGUCGGCUGUGAAAACCCGGGGCUCAACCCCGGGCCUGCAGUCGAUACGGGCAGACUAGAGUGCGGUAGGGGAGACUGGAAUUCCUGGGUGUAGCGGUGAAAUGCGCAGAUAGUCAGGAGGAACACCGAUGGCGAAGGCAGGUCUCUGGGCAUUAACUGACGCUGAGGAGCGAAAGCAUGGGGAGCGAACAGG